GACGAACGCUGGCGGCGUGCCUAAUACAUGCAAGUAGGACGCAGUUGCGAACGGGUGAGUAACGCGUAGGUAACUACCUAUUAGAGGGGGAUAACUAUUGGAAACGAUAGCUAAUACCGCAUACUAGUAGAUGGACCUGCGUUGUAUUAGCUAGUAGGUAGGGUAAUGGCCUACCUAGGCAACGAUACAUAGCCGACCUGGGAGGGAGAUCGGCCACACUGGGACUGGGACACGGCCCAGGCUCCCACGGGAGGGAGCAGUAGGGGAAUUUCGGAAAUUGGGGGAACCCUGAACGAGGCACGCCGCGGGAGUGGAGAAGGUUUUUGGAUCGUAAAGCUAUGUUGUUAAGGAAGCGGUACUUAACGAGAAAGGGACGGCUAACUACGUGCCAGCAGCCGCGGUAAUUC
rnacentral:rRNA from 1 species